UUGGAUAGCUCAGUUGGUAGAGCAUGAGGCUCGUAAUCUCAGAGUCAUGAGUUCAAGCCCCACACUGGGCAAAA